rnacentral:tRNA from 3 species
UGGUGCUUUCGCUGAGGAAAGUACCGCCGCUAGCACUGCUGGCGGUUCAACUGCUGGUGGUACUGCUGCAGGUUCUACUGCUGCAGCCUCAAC